CGAGCGAGCGAGAGAGAGAGAGAGAGAGAGAGAGAGAGAGAGAGAGAGAGAGAGAGAGAGUUUCGUUGCAUUUGGCGUAUGAUAAAGAGCGUGGCCACCUCUUUUUUCCUCCUCCUCCUCCAGCUCUAGUUUCCCUCCUUCUCGUCUGCCCCCUCGCGGUUACGAAUGCUUAUCGUAACGCGUAAUCGCCGUGAAGCGGAAUGGGGAAGCAGAUUUCACGCGUCCGCCGCACUCGGCCGCGAGGAAGUGCAGCCGACGGACGUAUGGUCCGUUCGAAACGGCAUCGUCGUCGUCGUCGUCGUCGUCGCCCUCCUCACUCCUUCCGAAUGGAGCACGCGUGCACGUGUGCGAUCAAAACCGCAAACACGCCAAUCCCGCUACUCCACCCUCCUUACGAACGGUUCCCGUUCGGAAAGAGAAGUGAAUCGUAAUUAAUAAGCCGCGAAUUCCGCGAAAAAAAGAGCUGUAAAAAGAGGCGAGAACUUCGCCGUGUGUGACACGUUCAAAAUUUGACGGUGCAAAGUGCACCGACGAGGCGAUCGCUCGCGGCGAUUCCUGCGCGGAGUAGAACUAAUUUUUUUUCCAACUUCGUUGUUAUGCCUUGUUGCGACAACGCCGGUUGCAAUCAGUUGCCGGUCACACGUGCGAGAGGGAUGUUCUUCGACGGCGAACGAUGGCGAGGCCUGUUCAUCUAAAGGCAGCGGAUUACAUUUCGCGGAAGUGCCUGCGCUUCCUAGGAUUAAGGAUGUCGAAGCGGCUGAGCUUUUACGGUCUGGUAGCCCUGGCGUCCAUCUGCAUCUUCUUCCUAGCGUUCAACCAGCGUUACAGCAACUAUCUCGAGCACCGGCUGCAGCCGAUGAUAUCGGAUGUUGAGAUAAGGCCGCGGACCACCAAAAUCCAAGAGCCCGUAACAAUAAGCCAGGCGUACAUUACGGGAUCUGCAGAAAAUGCCACGAUCACUGAAAUUCAGGAGGUCAUCGAUCAACAGAGGAGGGCGAUCAAAAAGGACAUGGAAAAUUAUGAAUAUCCAAAUGGAAGAUAUGAAAUAAAUGUGAGCAAACUUGAAGAUCUAGUGAUGGAGAAGGGCGGUAGACCAAUGAGAAGCAUAAUUCUGACGAGUUGGAGAAGUGGCAGCACGUUUCUCGGCGAUGUAGUGAAUGCGCAUCCGGCCAAUUUUUAUCAUUACGAACCAUUGCUCGACUAUGGAAUUGUGCAAAUCCGAGACCCGCCGCUAGCCGACGAAUCCUUGACAAGGAUUAUCUCGCUAUUGAAUUGUGAAUACAAAGAGCUCGAUCGGUACCUGGAUUAUGGGAAGACUCAUCCUUGGGUAUUCAAUCACAACACGCACUUAUGGCGACAAUGUCAAGCACACAAACGCAUUUGCUGGGAUCCACGUUUUGUCUCCAAAUUUUGUCGACUUUUUCCGUUCCAAUCGAUGAAGCUUGUACGAUUGAGGUUACAUGUGGCAGAGAGUCUUUUGGCCGAGGAAGAUUUAGGUAUACGACUAGUUCUACUCGUCCGAGAUCCCAGGGGCAUUCUGCAAUCCAGAAAACACAGAGAAUGGUGUCCCGCUAAACCCGACUGCUCCGAUCCGGCUUUGGUCUGUGCCGACAUGGUAUCGGAUUUCAACGCAGCGGUAGAACUGUCGAAAAAAUAUCCACGUUCUUUCAGGGUAGUGCGUUACGAGGACCUAUCUGUGGAUCCCUACAGACACGUGAAAGAGCUUUACAAUUUUUACGGCUUGAAUUUUCACGUGAACGUCAAGAGAUUUCUGGACACGCACACAAAGAACGACGUGGGUGGAGUAUCGAGCACCUUCCGCAAUUCUAAGGUUGCGCCAUUUCACUGGCGAGCCGAUCUAGAUUUUGAGGAGGUUCAGGAGAUACAGAAGGUAUGUGCGACCGCCAUGCGAUUAUGGGGAUACGUGAUGGCCUUAAAUUCCACUCACCAAAAAGACUUCGAUCCUAUCACAAAUUACCGGCUUCAAUUAUGACAGCUGGCAGACGACAUGCUCAAUGUAGAUAUGAUGUACAGUAUAUCGGUAUAGUGACACGGCAGUGCGGUCGAAAGUGCCGUAAUUCAUAUAUAUAUAUAUAUAUAUAUAUAUAUAUAUAUAUAUAUUCAGCGAAAGGUGCUAGUACGGUCACUCAGGAAGGUAGCCACGUAACGGGAAUAAAUGCAGUUUUAUUCAAACCAGGAAAUUUGCAGAAUGCCGAAUUUUUAACUUUAUGACACCGGUAACAAGGCUACUUCUUUAAAAGAAGACACAGACGGAUAUAUUUGUGACUUUUAUAUGAUUACAAACAUGAUCUAAACCACAGGCUGUUAAAUUCCUGAGAGCUUGACAUGCGACACAAAUUAUGUCUAACCAUAUCGACAAAAACGUUGCAGAUGCACUCCAAACGUUUCUAAAUAUUGUGAAUUUCUCGAGAGAAAGAAAAGGUAGUUUAUAAAGAGAUUUGUAAUGAUCAUCGGAUCUCAUCAUAUUAUCUUUUUACGUCUUCAAGUAUUCUACACAUAUAAGAUAAAAUUUUUAUAUCGACCACGGAAGACAAGGUGCACCUACUUCUCUCCCCUAUUCUUGGAUUCAUACAAAUUUAUCGUUAAAAACAAGAGGCGACUAAAUUUUAUUUUUUAUCUUAUUGAUUGAUCAAGAUACAUAAUAUUACUACAUUACGAACGUAGAAAUAUAUUCACAUACAAAACAAAGAACGUUUGUCAAAUAUGGAAUAUAUUAUGUCUAAUGAUAGAUUUUAUAUCCAUCGAAGGAAAACUUGAAUCUCGUAACGUUGGGGUCGUGUCUUGCAAUUGGUAGUGUGUUGAGAAUACAUAUUUAUUUCCUGCGUUUGACGGAAAAUUUCCACCGAUAUUUAAUGUGAUUCACGAAAGGAACAAGGUACGAGCAUGAUAUCAAUUAGCUCGUUUAUGCUAUGGAACACUCGAUCUUAUCUCUUGCUCAUGUAGUGACGUCCGGUCCGAAGAAACAGUCGGGUGGUGUAUGUCAAGGACAAGAAUACACGAGUUUCCAUUUCACCGGCCUUUGAUGCAUGGCCGACGACGAAUUAUAAGAAUUAUAGACGCGACCAACUUGCCCGCGAAUGCGCGUGAUUUUUAUAAUGUACGACAUGGUCGUAAUAGAACUGCACACUUUAGAUAGAAGUAUUACUGUAAGCUGUUUAUUGGCGAUUUAGAGUAAGAAUAAGAAUACUUUUUUGAGACUUUACACGCUACAUAUUGAUUAUCCUGGAACAGCUUGACCUGACUGGCGCACUGUUAUGUAUUAUAGUGUAAUUAUGUUAUACAUUAUACUUACGAUUGUAUUCCUCUCGCGUCCUUGUGUUAUGCACCGAGCGCCAGAUUACCAUCAGCUCUCUGUAUGUGAUCAAUCGAAUCUUACCACGCGUUCACUUAAAAUCUAUAAGCGUAUUUUGUGUUAUUAAAUAUUAUAUAUAAUAGAGUUUGGAUGUUGGGAAACCGAGAUAUUAUGGCUUUGUACGCCUCCCUUUCGUUUUAUUGGAUGACAAUUAACUAUGCAAAAUGCGGAUCCCAAUUAUUUACGUUGUUUCAUUGUCACUUUCGGAUGACACAAAGAUCAACAAAAUGAAUGUGAUGUUUCUCGUACGUACGGAUGAGAUUUUACGUGAUAGCGUUACAUACAACAUUGCCGAGUCACUCGAAAUACUCGGAUUACUAAUACAAAUUCGAUAACAUCUUCGUGUAAUUUUAUGCCGUUAUCAUGUACUAUUUCUCGCGGAAUGGGUAUCUAGUCCAAGAGGAACACUCAUUACUUCGUAUUUUGUACUCUAGAUGUAAAGGUUCUCCAAUAAAAGAAACACAUUUGUAUGAAA
rnacentral:misc_RNA from 1 species